UGAAGGGUAAACUAAGUAAAGUUAUUGGGUUCAUGCCUCAAAAAUGCCAGUGGGAUGGUCCCUUCAG
rnacentral:tRNA from 1 species